UCGGGAAUUUUGGGCAAUGGGCGAAAGCCUGACCCAGCAACGCCGCGUGAAGGAUGAAGUAUUUCGGUAUGUAAACUUCGAAAGAAUAGGAAGAAUAAAUGACGGUACUAUUUAUAAGCUCCGGCUAACUACGUGCCAGCAGCCGCGGUAAUACGCAGGGAGCAAGCGUUGUUCGGAUUUACUGGGCGUAAAGGGCGCGUAGGCGGCGCGGUAAGUCACUUGUGAAAUCUCUGAGCUUAACUCAGAACGGCCAAGUGAUACUGCAGGGCUAGAGUGCAGAAAGGGCAAUCGGAAUUCUUGGUGUAGCGGUGAAAUGCGUAGAUAUCAAGAGGAACACCGGAGGCGAAGGCGGGUUGCUAGGCUGACACUGACGCUGAGGCGCGAAAGCCAGGGGAGCAAACG
rnacentral:rRNA from 1 species